AGUGAACGCUGGCGGUAGGCCUAACACAUGCAAGUCGAACGGCAGCACAGUAAGAGCUUGCUCUUACGGGUGGCGAGUGGCGGACGGGUGAGGAAUACAUCGGAAUCUACUUUUUCGUGGGGGAUAACGUAGGGAAACUUACGCUAAUACCGCAUACGACCUACGGGUGAAAGCAGGGGAUCUUCGGACCUUGCGCGAUUGAAUGAGCCGAUGUCGGAUUAGCUAGUUGGCGGGGUAAAGGCCCACCAAGGCGACGAUCCGUAGCUGGUCUGAGAGGAUGAUCAGCCACACUGGAACUGAGACACGGUCCAGACUCCUACGGGAGGCAGCAGUGGGGAAUAUUGGACAAUGGGCGCAAGCCUGAUCCAGCCAUACCGCGUGGGUGAAGAAGGCCUUCGGGUUGUAAAGCCCUUUUGUUGGGAAAGAUAAGCAGCAGGUUAAGACCCCGCUGUUCGGACGGUACCCAAAGAAUAAGCACCGGCUAACUUCGU
rnacentral:rRNA from 1 species